CCUACGGGAGGCAGCAGGGAGGAAUAUUGGUCAAUGGACGAGAGUCUGAACCAGCCAAGUAGCGUGAAGGAUGACUGCCCUAUGGGUUGUAAACUUCUUUUAUAUGGGAAUAAAAUGUUCCACGUGUGGGAUUUUGUAUGUACCUUAUGAAUAAGGAUCGGCUAACUCCGUGCCAGCAGCCGCGGUAAUACGGAGGAUCCGAGCGUUAUCCGGAUUUAUUGGGUUUAAAGGGAGCGUAGGUGGAUUGUUAAGUCAGUUGUGAAAGUUUGCGGCUCAACCGUAAAAUUGCAGUUGAAACUGGCAGUCUUGAGUACAGUAGAGGUGGGCGGAAUUCGUGGUGUAGCGGUGAAAUGCUUAGAUAUCACGAAGAACUCCGAUUGCGAAGGCAGUUCACUGGACUGCAACUGACACUGAGGCUCGAAAGUGUGGGUAUCAAACAGGAUUAGAUACCCUUGUAGUC
rnacentral:rRNA from 1 species